AAAUCAGCAUGGUUUAUAAUGUGAGUUAAUUUGGAGAAUUCUUCCCUUAGGUGUGCAUAUUCUAAGUGACUUUUCUUUUCCUUCAUUUAGCUUAUCUUUGGUGGUGCUCGAGGAGUUGUCCUUAUUUCUUAUUCUUUUUGUUACUCUUUAGCAUAUCAUUGGCGGUGCUUUGUAGUAACUGUAAGUUCUGAAAGUAGAAAGCGUUAUUUAUUAGAGUUUCUUGUCUUCUAAGCUAGGUUACAAAUGGUGAUUUUCCAUACUUGUUUAUCUUGUGGAGUUGAGUUAGGUCGCAAGGUUCUUCGUAUUACAAAGUAAUGAUGAACAAAUACACAAGUAUAUAACCAUCUAACUAUAGUUCUUGCAUUAUUAGUGCACUUUGUUGGAAUGCUUGCAUCUCACCCGUACAUAUAGAGGACUUGGAAGGUACAAAGUGUUAGUUAGAAUAGAAACAAAAAACUAAGAAAAACUGAACAAUGAUUCUGGCACUAGACGAUGUACUGGUUUGUCAAACCUUCUACUUAUAGACCAGAUGGUCUACCUGCCCACAGAACAGAUGCUACAAGGGUGGUCAAUCGAUUCAUGCAUGAUCCAAGAGAGGCACUUACAAGUUACGAAUACCUUUAAUAUUUUAAGAAAAGUCUAAGAAGGGUUGUUGUUCUAGAAGUCUGGAAAUUAAAUAUGGAGAUUUAUACUGAUGCAAAAUAUGUAGGGUCUGUAGCUAAUAGGAGGUCCACCUCCAUAUAUUGCAUAUUCUUGGGUGGAAACUUGGUGAGUUGGAGGACUAAAACAAUAUCAUUGCAAAGUCUGAUGUUGAGGUUGAGUUUUGAGCUAUUGCUCAAGGAAUGUGUGAAUUGUUAUUGACAAAAAUUAUUUUGAAUGAUAUUUAAAGUGAAGCGUGAAGAACCUAUAACCCUUUAUUGUGAUGAUAAAUUAGUCAUUAGUAUUGCUUGCAAUCUACUUAAGCAUGAUAGGACAAAUACACUGACGCUUCAAUCACAUUUGUUCACAAAAGAUCUUUCCACAUAAAUGGUUUCACGAUACAUACAAGCUAAGAGUGAUAGAUAUUAACUCAUUUAACAGCUUGAAGGGGAGUGUUGAAGGGGAGUGAUGAGUUAUAAAAGAUAUUAUUGAGUUACAAGGAGAUGUUAUCAAUCAUUGUAAUUAUGAAAAUUAAGAUAUGGUAAUCAUUUUUCCAGGGUGGUUAGAACUCCAUACAUACUCUUUGCUAAUUUACUAUCAAUUCAAAUUGAAUGAGAUCUUUUCUCUUCAAAUAUCUAAGUAUUAUUUUUUCAAGUCUUAGAUUCAGUUCCUGUUAUAUUUAAUCCUUAGGCUACUGUGUAAUUCCUAUUGUUCUGACUUUAUUUUAUACUUUCCUUAUGUAGAGGAGAUGAUAAGGGGGCUCACUCAAGUAUCUUGGGAACGUGUGGAUGUUAGCUUUCAGAAAAGUAAACAGCGCUACAUUGCUCACAGUACAAUUCAGGUGAAAACAUAUUGGUUGAAUUCUGAUGGUGCUGAUGUGGUUUACCAUAUGAUAGAUAACUUCCUUCUUUAGCCUUUUUGGUAAGUAAAUCAAUGUUGUGAGCAAUAGUUUUACUCUAAUCAUAUAUCCCCUAUAUUAUGUCUUGCAACGUAAUGGAUGAAGAUUUGCUGUAUAUUAUAUUGUGGCAUUGGAAGUCGAUAGCUUCGUUUGAGAGCACCUUUAUGUACAUGAGGAGUCUUCUUAUUUAGUAAUUUUUGUUUAUAUAUUGAUGUUAUUGACAACGUGAUAUCAACACGAUGCUAUAUUCUAUUCUCUCCAUAGUCUAUAUUUUCUGUUUGAUAUCCAAACCCAUAACUGUGAUUUCAUUUUAAAAACUCUAACAGCAGGCUUGUAGUUUGUAACUUGAACAAGCUGUUAGAUUGCAUAA